UACAGAGGGUGCAAACGUUGCUCGGAAUUAUUGGGCGUAAAGCGCGUGUAGGCGGCUCGUUAAGUCGGUUGUGAAAACCCAUGGCUCAACCAUGGAAGUGCGUCCGAAACUGGCGAGCUUGAGUCCCGACGAGGAUGGCGGAAUUCCCAGUGUAGAGGUGAAAUUCGUAGAUAUUGGGAGGAACACCGGUGGCGAAGGCGGCCAUCUGGGAGGGUACUGACGCUGAGACGCGAAAGCGUGGGGAGCAAACAGG
rnacentral:rRNA from 1 species